UUAGCCGGCCUGAGAGGACGACCGGCCACACUGGGGACUGGAAACCCCGGCCCAGACUCCUACGGAGGCAGCAGGUGGGGAAUAUUGGCCCAAUGGGCGAAAGCUUGAUGCAGCGACGCCGCGUGAGGGAUGACGGCCUUCGGGGUGUAAACCUYCUUCAGCAGGGAAGAAGCGAAAGUGACGGUACCUGCAGAAGAAGCGCCGGCUAACUACGUGCCAGCAGCCGCGGUAAUACGUAGGGCGCAAGCGUUGUCCGGAAUUAUUGGGCGUAAAGAGCUCGUAGGCGGCUUGUCACGUCGGGUGUGAAAGCCCGGGGCUUAACCCCGGGUCUGCAUUCGAUACGGGCUAGCUAGAGUGUGGUAGGGGAGAUCGGAAUUCCUGGUGUAGCGGUGAAAUGCGCAGAUAUCAGGAGGAACACCGGUGGCGAAGGCGGAUCUCUGGGCCAUUACUGACGCUGAGGAGCGAAAGCGUGGGGAGCGAACAGGAUUAGAUACCCUGGUAGUCCACGCCGUAAACGGUGGGAACUAGGUGUUGGCGACAUCCA
rnacentral:rRNA from 1 species